rnacentral:lncRNA from 1 species
CUAGGCAGGCCGAUCCUCCGCAGCGGCACUCCCUUUCAUUCUUCCCCUCCCACCACACACACACACUCACACACACACACCCGGACCCAGACAGCCCACUCCACUUUCCAGACGCCCACCUCCUACAUACUCCCCUCCCCUAAACAGACAUUCACCCACUCGCCAUCUGUAGCCUCCUUCCGCCCCCCGCCCCGCCCGCCUGGCUCCCCCUCCCCAAGAAGCAGACCUGCACAGUGGGACCCAGGGACCCCCGCCAGACGCUCGGGUCGUGCACGCCGCACUGACCUCGGCCCGCCCCGCCGGGAAACUAACAAAGGCGGGCGAGAGCCCGGAGCCCAGGAGCCGCGAGCGGCGGCCGUGGGGCCAGGGAGCCUGGGCCGGGCCGGGCGGGGACUACUCCGGAGUCAGGAGGCAGCAGCUGCGGAGGAAGCGGAUCCCUGGCAGUCAGCGCCGCUCGGACGCUGCCGGCACCAUGGGCUGCUGCACCGGACGCUGCUCGCUCAUCUGCCUCUGCGCGCUGCAGUUGCUAUCAGACAAUGGAGGUUAUGAGGCAGUGAACUAACGAGGGUGUUGAAAGAGGAUGACAUUGGGAGAAC